rnacentral:misc_RNA from 1 species
ACUGUAUCCAAGAAUUGCUUGAAAAGCUGAAGAAAUUAUUAAAGCUCCCUGCAACUCCUUCAUGAUAUGCUUGAAUUUAUUUCCUUUCAAUGCCAAGAACUCUGGGGAGUUAAUUAUUGCAAGAGCAGGAGCAAGAUAAACAAAUGAAGCCCCCUGUAUCAGAGGUAACCUCGAGCCAAAUGACGUGUGCAACAGCGUCGUCACUCCUGACACAAGGAGCACAGUGGAGACGACAUUUG